rnacentral:rRNA from 1 species
CACGUAGGGUGCGAGCGUUGUCCGGAAUUAUUGGGCGUAAAGAGCUCGUAGGCGGUGUGUCGCGUCGGCCGUGAAAACUCAGGGCUUAACCCUGAGCCUGCUUCCGAUACGGGCAGACUAGAGGUAUGCAGGGGAGAACGGAAUUCCUGGUGUAGCGGUGAAAUGCGCAGAUAUCAGGAGGAACACCGGUGGCGAAGGCGGUUCUCUGGGCAUUACCUGACGCUGAGGAGCGAAAGUGUGGGGAGCGAACAGG